AUGUGGAGAAUAAUCCCAACUGUGAAAAGUGCUACUGGGGUGGAAAAGUACAGAAUAAUUUUGACAAAGGGCAAUCUCCUUGUUGCUCGUAGAAGAAAGCCGAGUUGGAUUGUGGAAUUUAACUUAAUGGCUGUGAUGCACAAUUGAUACUUUGUCUGGAUUUUAGUGAUCUCUUCUUACAUUUGGCUUCCUAAAUCAACUUCAUAUCUUCAACAGUCAAAGUUGUGCAUUAAACUUCUUUGUAUCUUUGAUCAAUAGUGGUGCUGAAUUGUUUUUUGAGGGGGUUGGGGGUUGUUAAUUCAUUCUUAUUAGACAUGGAUAUCUUUUUACACAUUUGAUUUUAUUUAUAAUCUAAUCAAAAGGCUCAUAUAUAUUAAGUUUAUUUGGCAACAUCAUAAUCUUUUAAAAAAGAAACAGAAAUUAGGCAUAGUUGUGUUCAUAAAGUGUUUUGUGGAGACUCAAAGAAGUCUUAGAUUUCACUUUGUCCAACCCAGGUACAAAAAGAAUCCCCACAAUAGUAUACCAAAUAAUUGAUUGUUCAAGGUUGAAUGGGACUUGCUUCUUAAAAGAUAGAGUUCUGUUGUUCUUCCUUAAGUGUUUCUUUUUAUUAUUAUAAAAGAUCACAUACCCCUAUUUCCUUUCAUUGAUAAAAGGUAUACAAUUCAAGGAAGAAGACUUGGAUGAUCAAGUUAUUGUUUUAGUUCAAUGACAUUCUGCAAAGAACUGAGAGCUUAAUGUUUCACCAAGGUAAUGUAUUUAGAAAUAUUGAAUCUGACCUGUCAUUCUUUGUUUUAUUGAGGUUAAUUUAUCAUUAUAACUAUAGCAGCUUUAUUUUGGAUACUUCAAGAUCCUUAAUACUGAUGUCUUGACUUUUUUUGUAAUGGAAGAAGCUAAAUUUUCAGAUAACCUUCAGUAACUGAAUGAUAUCUGUCCAACUCAGCCCUGUCAUUUCCUAAAAUGGUGCUAUUUUUUAUUCCUUGCCUUGUCAGACAGGUUUAGAGAACAAUGCACCAUUGUCCUUUAAAGAAGUCACUUAUAUUUUGAUCCAACAUCUACUUACAUUUGUCAGAAUUGGUGAUUUUUUUUAACCUUUUGUUAUGACACUGACUAACUGUUCUCAGAUGUCUGGCUUUGUUCCCGGAUGUUA
rnacentral:lncRNA from 1 species